AUUGAACGCUGGCGGCAGGCCUAACACAUGCAAGUCGAGCGAGCGGCGGACGGGUGAGUAAUGCCUGGGAAUUGCCCAGUCGAGGGGGAUAACAGUUGGAAACGACUGCUAAUACCGCAUACGAUUGGAUUGCCCAGGUGGGAUUAGCUAGUUGGUGAGGUAAUGGCUCACCAAGGCGACGAUCCCUAGCUGGUCUGAGAGGAUGAUCAGCUACACUGAAACGGAGACAGAGUCCAAACUCCUACGGGAGGCAGCAGUGGGGAAUAGUGCACAAUAGGGGAAGACCUGAUGCGGCCAUCCCGCGUGUGUGAAGAGGGCCGUCGGGUUGUAAGGCACUUACAGGGAGAAGGCAUUAAUCGCAGAAGAAGCACCGGCUAACUCCGUGCCAGCAGCCGCGGUAAUAC
rnacentral:rRNA from 1 species